rnacentral:lncRNA from 1 species
CCUAUAGUCACGUCAUGUCACGUGAUUUUAUCAAACCCGGAAAUGCUCUUGAUUUUAUAGCUUAUUUCUUUAUAAACACAGCAAUGUGUUGUUUUAAAACCCAUAUAUUGUUACUUGGGCAAUGAGAAUACAGAUUAAAUACGAAUUUCAAAAAAAUAUUAACUUGACAUAUGCAUAUGGUUAACCCAUGUUAAAUAUCCACCAUUUAUUGUCUGUUCGUGUUAUCCAGUCACGGAGGCCAAAGCCAGACUUGGCCAAAAAGAUGGCAUAUUUACUCGAGCAGUGUCGGCUGAGGAACUUUAAAGACCACAUCUGUGCAGGUAAGGACUCAUAUCAGAAUAUAUAGUUUAUAUGAAGUAUUUUUGCCAGCUCUCAUUGUUGCAUCAAAUUGGCCACAGGCGGCUGUAAUAAAUUCCCAGAGAUAUUAACUGCUAAGAAAGUGCAUGUUUGAAGUUGAACACUAGAGGGUGCUACACUUUGGGGCAGAGAUGCCACUCCCUGACUUUGAUUGGUCUUCAAGUACAGGUGUGUGCAGUCCUUUGUUCUGCCUCACAAACAACUCAGUGCAAGGAAGAUACCAGAGAUGCUAUUGGAGGAACCAGAGCCAAAUCGGGCCAACAUUUACCAGUCUGUAGUCGUCAACAGCUCCAAGGAGAUGAUGGCCUUCAGUGACUUCCCGCCUCCUGCCGAACUGCCCAAUAACUUGCACCACUCUGAGGUCCUGGGAUAUCUACGCCUGUACGCAAACUCCUGCCUCACAUUCAGUUCAAGUGCUGAAAGUGAGGAAGACCCCAGAUUCUGCAGAAACGGUGCAAUGGGAGGUAGACACAGAGAAACAAAAUGGAGAGAAGGGGACCCAUGUUUUUGA